GAAGGUAUGGCUCAGUGCUAGAGUGCACGCUUAGCAUGCAUGAGGUCCUGGGUUCAAUCCCCAGUACCUCCA
rfam:Camelus ferus unplaced genomic scaffold scaffold14590, whole genome shotgun sequence.